rnacentral:rRNA from 1 species
GAUGAACGCUGGCGGCGUGCCUAAUACAUGCAAGUCGAGCGAACAGACGAGGAGCUUGCUCCUAUGACGUCGGGGCGGGUGGGGAGGUUACCCGGGGGUCACCAUACCUCAACGAAGGGGUUACUUAGGGAAAACGGGGGCUAUUACCGAAAAAUUUAUUGCCCUUAUGGGUCCAUUGGUUAAAACGGGUUUUCUGUAACGUAAAAGACGACCCGGGCCGCAAUACAUAGCUGGUAAGGGAACGGCUUAACAAGGAAACGAGGCGUAACCGACCUGAGAGGGUGAUCGGCCACACUGGAACUGAGACACGGUCCAGACUCCUACGGUAGGCAGCAGUAGGGAAUCUUCCGCGAUGGGCGAAAGCCUGACGGAGCAACGCCGCGUGAGGGAUGAAGGUCUUCUGAUCGUAAAGCGCUGUUAUUAGGGAAGAACAAAUGUGUAAGUAACUAUGCACGUCUUGACGGUACCUAAUCAGAAAGCCACGGCUAACUACGUG